rnacentral:piRNA from 1 species
UAAAGGUGUGUUCCUUAACUCGGA